CAGCAGUGGGGAAUCUUCCGCAAUGGACGAAAGUCUGACGGAGCAACGCCGCGUGAGUGAAGACGGUCUUCGGAUUGUAAAGCUCUGUUAUACGGGACGAACGGCAAGGUGGUAAAUAGCCAUCAUGAGUGACGGUACCGUAAGAGAAAGCCACGGCUAACUACGUGCCAGCAGCCGCGGUAAUACGUAGGUGGCAAGCGUUGUCCGGAAUUAUUGGGCGUAAAGGGCGCGCAGGCGGUUUUUUAAGUCGGUCUUAAAAGUGCGGGGCUUAACCCCGUGAGGGGACCGAAACUGGAAGACUUGAGUGUCGGAGAGGAAAGCGGAAUUCCUAGUGUAGCGGUGAAAUGCGUAGAUAUUAGGAGGAACACCGGUGGCGAAAGCGGCUUUCUGGACGACAACUGACGCUGAGGCGCGAAAGCGUGGGGAGCAAACAGGAUUAGA
rnacentral:rRNA from 1 species